rnacentral:rRNA from 1 species
UACGAGGGGGGCAAGCGUUGUCCGGAAUUAUUGGGCGUAAAGAGCUCGUAGGUGGCCUGUCGCGUCGGCUGUGAAAACUCGGGGCUCAACUCCGAGCUUGCAGUCGAUACGGGCAGGCUAGAGUUCGGCAGGGGAGACUGGAAUUCCUGGUGUAGCGGUGAAAUGCGCAGAUAUCAGGAGGAACACCGGUGGCGAAGGCGGGUCUCUGGGCCGAUACUGACACUGAGGAGCGAAAGCGUGGGGAGCGAACAGG